AGCGAACGCUGGCGGCAGGCUUAACACAUGCAAGUCGAGCGGGCGUAGCAAUACGUCAGCGGCAGACGGGUGAGUAACGCGUGGGAACGUGCCCUUUGGUUCGGAACAACACAGGGAAACUUGUGCUAAUACCGGAUAAGCCCUUACGGGGAAAGAUUUAUCGCCGAAGGAUCGGCCCGCGUCUGAUUAGCUUGUUGGUGAGGUAACGGCUCACCAAGGCUACGAUCAGUAGCUGGUCUGAGAGGAUGAUCAGCCGCACUGGGACUGAGACACGGCCCAGACUCCUACGGGAGGCAGCAGUGGGGAAUAUUGGACAAUGGGGGCAACCCUGAUCCAGCCAUGCCGCGUGAGUGAUGAAGGCCCUAGGGUUGUAAAGCUCUUUCGGCGGGGAAGAUAAUGACGGUACCCGCAUAAGAAGCCCCGGCUAACUUCGUGCCAGCCGCCGCAGUAA
rnacentral:rRNA from 1 species